rnacentral:rRNA from 1 species
GCUACCACGAUUCCGAGAAAAUUCCUGUGGAGAUUAUAUCGUUAAGUAGCCGUAUUGAAGCUGACACAGGCGAAUGAGCGAUAUACGCUAAGGGAACGAGAUAACUCUAAUUAAGGAACUCGGCAAAAUGACUCCGUAACCUCGGGAUAACGAGUGCCUAGUUAAUAGGUUCAAUGAAUUUGAUGUGGGCGACUGUUUAUCAAAAACACAGGUUUCCGCCAAGUCUUAAAACAAUGUAUGGAAGCUGACACCUGCCCAGUGCCUAAUGGUUAAUGUGAUUCGUUUAAGCAGAAUUGCGAAAGCUCUGGUGAACGGCGGCCGUAACAAUAACGGUCCUAAGGUAGCGAAAUUCCUUGUCGGGUAAGUUCCGACCCGCACGAAGGGUGUAACGACUUCCCCGCUGUCUCCAGCAUAGACUCAGUGAAAUUGAAUUCCCCGUGAAGAUGCGGGGUUCCUGCGGUUAGACGGAAAGACCCCGUGCACCUUUACUAUAGCUUUACAUUGGCAUUCGUAGUGGCAUGUGUAGGAUAGGUGGUAGGCUUUGAAACCUGGGCGCCAGCUCAGGUGGAGCCACCCUUGAAAUACCACCCUUAUUACUAUGGAUGUCUAACCGCGGCCCGUUAUCCGGGUCCGGGACAAUGUAUGGUGGGUAGUUUGACUGGGGCGGUCGCCUCCUAAAGAGUAACGGAGGCGCGCGAUGGUGGGCUCAGAACGGUCGGAAAUCGUUCGCUGAGUGCAAUGGCAUAAGCCUGCCUGACUGCGAGACUGACAAGUCGAGCAGAGACGAAAGUCGGUCAUAGUGAUCCGGUGGUCCCGCGUGGAAGGGCCAUCGCUCAACGGAUAAAAGGUACGCCGGGGAUAACAGGCUGAUGACCCCCAAGAGUCCAUAUCGACGGGGUUGUUUGGCACCUCGAUGUCGACUCAUCGCAUCCUGGGGCUGGAGCAGGUCCCAAGGGUAUGGCUGUUCGCCAUUUAAAGCGGUACGUGAGUUGGGUUCAGAACGUCGUGAGACAGUUCGGUCCCUAUCUGCCGUGGGUGUAGGAAUAUUGAAAGGAUCUGUCCCUAGUACGAGAGGACCGGGAUGGACGGAUCUCUGGUGGACCUGUUGUGGCGCCAGCCGCAUAGCAGGGUAGCUAUAUCCGGACGGGAUAACCGCUGAAGGCAUCUAAGCGGGAAACCCACCUUAAAACGAGUAUUCCCUGAGAACCGUGGAAGACGACCACGUUGAUAGGCCGGGUGUGGAAGAGCGGCAACGCUUGAAGCUUACCGGUACUAAUAGUUCGAUCGGCAUCUAAGC